rnacentral:rRNA from 1 species
GAUGAACGCUGGCGGCGUGCUUAAUACAUGCAAGUCGAACGGAAAGGCCCUGCGUUUGCGGGGCUCUCGAUUGGCGAACGGGUGAGUAACACGCGAGUAACCUGCCCUUGACUGUGGGGUAACUCCACGAAACUGGGGAUCAUACCGGAUAGGAGCUCCUGCUGCAUGGUGGUGGUUGGAAAGUUUCGGCGGUUGGGGAUGGAAUCGCGGGUUAUCGGCUGGUUGGUGGGGUAGUGGCUUACCAAGGCUUUGACGGGUAGCCGGCCUGGGAGGGUGACCGGCGACAAUGGGACUGCGAUAGGGCGCAGACGCCUACGGGAGGCAGCAGUGGAGAAUAUUGCACAAUGGGGCGACGCCUGAUGCAGCAGUGCCGCGUUCGGAAUGCCGGCCUACGGGUUAUGAACCGCUUUCUCCUGUGACGAAGCGUGAUUGACGGUAAUGGGUCAAGAAGCAACGGCUAACUACGUG